CCUACGGGUGGCAGCAGUGGGGAAUAUUGGACAAUGGGGGGAACCCUGAUCCAGCCAUGCCGCGUGUGUGAAGAAGGCCCUCGGGUUGUAAAGCACUUUCAGUGAGGAAGAAAGCCUGGUGGUUAAUACCCAUCAGGAAAGACAUCACUCACAGAAGAAGCACCGGCUAACUCCGUGCCAGCAGCCGCGGUAAUACGGAGGGUGCGAGCGUUAAUCGGAAUUACUGGGCGUAAAGCGCGCGUAGGUGGCUUGAUAAGCCGGUUGUGAAAGCCCCGGGCUCAACCUGGGAACGGCAUCCGGAACUGUCAAGCUAGAGUGCAGGAGAGGAAGGUAGAAUUCCCGGUGUAGCGGUGAAAUGCGUAGAGAUCGGGAGGAAUACCAGUGGCGAAGGCGGCCUUCUGGACUGACACUGACACUGAGGUGCGAAAGCGUGGGUAGCAAACAGGAUUAGAUACCCUGGUAGUC
rnacentral:rRNA from 1 species